rnacentral:lncRNA from 1 species
GUGGUCUUCUGCUCACAACAGUGGGGGCAGCAGGGCUCCCAGUCUGGGAGCCCUCCCAGCACCAUAACUGAAGAAGCCGUCGGUAGAAGCCACCACCAGAUAACUGCAUGAGCUUGACCUGGGAGGGGAAAGGCAGUGAAUUGAUAAACCAUUGUUGGUUCAAGACUUCCCAGUGGACUCAGCUGGUGUGGCAACCAAGCAGCGCAACCUGGAUUUUUUGGGUGCUUUCUCAGUUCCUGGAAUCAGCUCGGCUGCUCUUGAACUGAAACAGCCUGCCAGGGGCUUCCUCCCCUCGCUUAGGAAUUACCUAAACCUCCUGGGUAUAUGGGCCCCUGCAAGGCCAGCAGGCGCAAAGGGCCAGGUACCAGAGGCGGCAUCCAUUCUGUUUUUUUCUGGCUUGCGCUUGCCAGGGGUUGGAGAAUUGCAACCCAUAUCUUCCAAAAACAGACGUUGGCACCUAGGGGGAUGGGUUGGGAAGAAGAAUAGAGAUUAGCUCUCCGGGCUAGGUUGGUAGGAAAGAAGAGAUCGCUCUCAAAAACAUACGGGACAAUUAGUAAUUCCAUACCGGACAAGUUAAGCAACCUUUCUCCUGGUGCUCCCCCAAAGGUCUUAUGUCGGCCAUCUGAGGCACUUUUGAGCCCGUAGAAGUAUGGCCUGUUGCAGAGGCAGAACGCAACGCUUUGGUGAGCAAUCCUGUAAGUGUCUUGCCUUCCGAUAAUCGGAUGGGGGAAGCCUUUUGGUCAGGAAUUCAGUCUCGAGGCAAGCAGGGGAGGUCUUCUUAGCAGGAGUUUUCCCCCCCUCAAACUCGGGCUGCCCCACAGAGCUUGCUGAAUAGGAUAGAGGAGUCCCCUGGGAGCUCAUCCGAAGGCUCCUGGGUUCCUUGUUAGAGCAGCAUAGAGCAAAUGUCCGAGGUAACCAGAGAAGCAGCCUCUCUGGACAUCUGAUCUGAAAGCGAAGUUUGGUUCAGCCGCUUGCCUUUUGGAUCAAAGGGUGAAGUCUUAGUCUUUCGGGAAAGCCUGCCCUCUUUUUCGUUUCUUUUUUCUUUUUGUACAGACACAUGGCAGCCUUGUGGGCAUCUGCAUGCCCCUGCGUUUGGAGCUCUUUCUCCCACGGGAAGAGCCCAGCCAAGGACGAGACUCUUAAUUUUGAAUGAAGACUUUAAUUUUGAAACGAACGCAAUGUGUGACGGCUAUAUGUUGUUUUUUCCCCUGUGGGGUGGAAGUUGGCACCACUGGGGUUUUUCUGCCAGAAGCAAAGCCAAAAACAAAACAGCCUCUUUCAGGCUUGCCUGAUAACAGACACAGCAAACAAGGCA